AAGUCGUAACAAGGUUUCCGUAGGUGAACCUGCGGAAGGAUCAUUAGUCUUUUUUUUAGAUGUUGGGGGGUGUGCUCUCUUUUUUUGUGAGGGGGUGCUGAUUUUUGAGAGGUUUAUAAUAAAAAAUAAAAAUGAAUAAAAAAACAAAACAAAACACAACAGUCAACGGUGGAUCUCUUGGCUCGU
rnacentral:misc_RNA from 1 species